AGAUGAAUGACUGAGAUGGUUAAAGUAUCAAUUUUGAAAAUUGACAAUAAAAUUUAUUUUUAGCGUAGGUUCGAAUCCUACUUCAUCUA
rnacentral:tRNA from 1 species